rnacentral:pre_miRNA from 1 species
AUCACUUGAGUAUCUUGUUACAAUGCAAUUUCUAAUCCAGUAGGUUUCUGGGGUGAGGUCUGAGAUUUUGCAUUUUUAACAAGUUCCCAGGUGAAGCUGA